UACGUAGGGGUCGAGCGUUGUCCGGAGUUACUGGGCGUAAAGCGCGCGCAGGUGGCUCGUUGCGCCCGGCGUGAAAGCCCCCGGCUCAACCGGGGAAGGUCGUCGGGGACGGGCGAGCUUGAGGGCGGCAGGGGCCGGUGGAACUCCCGGUGUAGUGGUGAAAUGCGUAGAGAUCGGGAAGAACACCCGUGGCGAAGGCGGCCGGCUGGGCCUGUUCUGACGCUGAGGCGCGAAAGCUAGGGGAGCGAACAGG
rnacentral:rRNA from 1 species